rnacentral:rRNA from 1 species
CUACGGGUUGCUCCAGUGGGGAAUAUUGCACAAUGGACGAAAGUCUGAUGCAGCAACGCCGCGUGGAGGAUGACACAUUUCGGUGCGUAAACUCCUUUUAUAUAAGAAGAUAAUGACGGUAUUAUAUGAAUAAGCACCGGCUAACUCCGUGCCAGCAGCCGCGGUAAUACGGAGGGUGCAAGCGUUACUCGGAAUCACUGGGCGUAAAGAGCGUGUAGGCGGAUAGAUAAGUUGGAAGUGAAAUCCUAUGGCUCAACCAUAGAACUACUUCCAAAACUGUCUAUCUAGAAUAUGGGAGAGGUAGAUGGAAUUUCUGGUGUAGGGGUAAAAUCCGUAGAGAUCAGAAGGAAUACCGAUUGCGAAGGCGAUCUACUGGAACAUUAUUGACGCUGAGACGCGAAAGCGUGGGGAGCAAACAGGAUUAGAUACCCCGGUAGUC